CUGUCAGGGUGGGGGUGUCUGCUGUAAUCUCAGCUUCUAGACAGCUUUACUUUCCUCAGUUACUUAUAAAUAGGUAUGGACUGAGUUUACGCCUAGAGGAGCAGAGACCUUGGAAAGGGGCGUCUGUGUGUGUCCGAAAACUGUGGCUGUAAUCUAUCCGUGUUCUAGCUGUGCAUUACAUUUUUAACAAUGUGGUUUCAGAAGGAGCAGAGAGCUUAAAAUCCUUAAUAGGAUUAUUCAGGAAGGUUCCUCUCUACAAGCAAUAGCAAAAAUUCUAUAAUGUGUUUAUGCUGCAGUAUGUACAGAGAUACGUAUACCCACUGUGUUCAUUAUUAGGAAGUAACAGCUGUAGUCAUUCUUCCCUUUCACAUUUGGAGUCCUGGAGGUUUCAUGGAAAAGACUUGGGAAUGUUUCUUACACUUACGAGAGUUUUAUUCAAUAUUGAUUUAGUAAUUACUGGAAGUAAGGAACCUAUCAUCACCUUUGUUGGGAAAUUGUGUUAUGUCCUGAUAUUUCCUGCUCUUUAGAAAUCAUGGUUUCCAUGUCUAGUGAUUUCUUCUUGCUGUUUAAGAGCUGUUGUUACUCAGAUGCAGAGCUAACAUCUCGACCCUUGCUGUAUCUGACACCAGCUAUGUCUUCAAACAAGUGUAAAGAUCAUUAGCUUGUUUUCCAACAUCAGAUGUUCAGAUGUGCUUAAUUUGCAUCCAGAGCAUGCAGCUAUCCUGCAUGUACCGAGUCUGUCCAGUCAGCAAGACAUCCUACUCCUAACAGUGUUGUAUGCUACUUAAUCCAACCAAUCAAUACUGACAAUGCUGAGAAGCAGGAAAGAAAUAUCAGUUUUCAUCUUGUUCAAAGGCUUCACAGAUCAAGCUAGGACCUUGCAAGACCAGGCCUGGAGCAGAGUUUGGUACCACACUGAGACUGAUGGGGAAGGGGAAACCUGAAGGUAAAUUUGGUGUUAGAAAUGCUGAUUUUGCAUGUUUCUAUGUUCCUUAUAGAAACAACUAUGUUGUUGGCAUCACAACUUUUUGAAAGGGGCCAAAGGUAGAAUACAGAACCCCUGGGUUUUCACUAGUUUAAAAUGCCUGCAGAAACUGGGGAGAGGCAAAUCUGCUCUGGGAUUCUUCAGUAUGUAAGACACAAAGCUCAUGGAAUGUUUUAUUUAUCUGGUAAAAUGGUGCACAAGGAAUUUUUGUGACUUUCAUGUUUCCUCUGUAAAAUAAACAUCUUUAGGAAAAAAGUCCAGGUCUAAACUGGAGUGGGGAAAAGUUGAACACAGCUGGGCCGCCUUUUAUAAUAAAACAGCACAAAAUCCAAUCACAAAGAGUAGGUGGAAGAUGAUAUCUGCAAGAGAAACACAGACUAAAUGUGACAAGUCUGGGAUUGUGAAUUGGUAAUACCCUGAAUCGUGGAUUCCAUUGUAGCAAAUGCCUCCAAGUGCGAGCUGAUUAACCUCCCAUCCGUAAGGACACUCCGGAAUUUUG